UCGAGUUAGAACUGACCAUAAUAUUUCAAUAAGGUCAAUUCAAAUAUUUCGUGCUAUACUUUUGGCGGUUUUGCGAAUUUAAGAUAUUGUAAUUCGGGGUUCGCUUUUGGUGCAGUAAAGUUACCGCCCUUCCCGACCGACUUGAUGUAUUUUUCUUGUGUUAUUUUUGUUUAUUGUGAAUAAUGUGUGUAAAAACAUAAUCUUUAAAUUGAUUCAUAAUAAAAAUUGCUUUUAUUUUUGUAGAUUGGUUUUUAUGUUCGUUACCUGCAGCGGCUUAGAC
rnacentral:lncRNA from 1 species